AACCUUUCUCUCUCCGUUGCAGGUCCAUGAUAUGGUUGUAACACAGCCCACAGCUGCAAAGCUGAAGGCUUGGUAUUCAUAAAAGCUCUAAAAUUUGAGCUUAGCAAAGAGAUUCUUGCUUCAUUUCUACUUGUGGUUGUGGCUCUAUUGCAAUUAGGAGUCCAAGAGUAUUAUAAAAUCCUCAUUUUCUGUUUUUCCUUUU